CGGCCGGGACGACCCGGUCGUGUUCAUCAUUCGGGGACGGCCCCA
rnacentral:ncRNA from 1 species